AGAGUUUGAUCCUGGCUCAGGAUGAACGCUGGCGGCGUGCCUAAUACAUGCAAGUCGAACGGGAUGGAUGGGAGCUUGCUCCCUGAUAUCUAGUGGCGAACGGGUGAGUAACACGUAGGUAACCUGCCCUUAAGCUUGGGAUACCCAGAGGAAACUUUGGCUAAUACCGGAUAACAACAGAAGAGGCAUCUCUUCAGUUUGAAAGGCCCUUUACGGGGUCACUUAAGGAUGGACCUGCGGCGCAUUAGCUAGUUGGUGAGAUAACAGCCCACCAAGGCGAGGAUGCGUAGCCGACCUGAGAGGGUGAUCGGCCACAUUGGAACUGAGACACGGUCCAAACUCCUACGGGAGGCAGCAGUAAGGAGUUUUCGGCAAUGGGGGAAACCCUGACCGAGCAACGCCGCGUGAGUGAUGACGGCCCUAUGGGUUGUAAAGCUCUGUUGUAAGGGACGAAUGACUAGCUUAGGAAAUGAAGUUAGUUUGACGGUACCUUACCAGAAAGCCACGGCUAACUACGUGCCAGCCGCGGC
rnacentral:rRNA from 1 species